rnacentral:rRNA from 1 species
UACGUAGGUGGCAAGCGUUGUCCGGAUUUACUGGGCGUAAAGAGCGCGCAGGCGGUCGUUCAAGUCGCGUGUGAAAGCCCCCGGCUCAACUGGGGAGGGUCACGCGAUACUGAUCGACUCGAAGGCAGGAGAGGGUAGUGGAAUUCCCGGUGUAGUGGUGAAAUGCGUAGAUAUCGGGAGGAACACCAGUGGCGAAGGCGACUACCUGGCCUGUUUCUUGACGCUGAGACGCGAAAGCGUGGGGAGCGAACAGG